AUUGAUCUCAAGAUCCAUGGCUCCAGAAGCCACCUUGGGCUCACUUAACUCACUAAAAGCAGCACUGAUUUUACUUUUGGAUUCAAUUGAGUUGGUUUUGCUCAAAUCAUUCUCCAAAUUUGUCUGUCCUCCACUGUUCAUUCCAAGUUCCAGGGGUGAGCUGCCAUUUUCAGCCACAUCAUGCAUAUCUUGUGAAAACUUUGGAAUGCUAUUGCUAGAUUGUUGAAGCAAACCAUUUUUCUUAAAUUUGACAUACUGGAACUCUUGAUUUCAUCAUCUUCUUCUUCUUCUUCAUCAUCAGAUGCAUAGUUAGCAAGACCCAAUACAUUUCCUGGGGCACCAGAACUGGAUUUUUCACUUACAUCUUCAGUUUCAGACUCUCUUGCUUUAACAGGAACUAGAACCUUUGCAGAUGCCUUCAGAGUUGGGACUUCUGGAGGAGAUGGAGCUGCCUUAUGAUUUGAAGUGACAGUAUCGUGCUCAACUUCAACAGUCAGAUCAUCUUCGUGAAGAACUUUUGUAGCAAUUUCAUCAAACAGCUCAUCAGUAACCUUCAGAAGAACUUCUGUUAGAACACGUUUUAUUUCUUGAUUAAUGGCUGCAUUUCUAGCAGCUUCC
rnacentral:misc_RNA from 1 species